rnacentral:ncRNA from 1 species
CGGUUUCCACCACGGAACUAAUAGGGAAUCCCAGGCCCGCCAAUACGGGCCAAACGGAACUGCCCCCGCAACUGUAGGUGCCGAGCCUGCUCCAUCGAUGCCACUGGGCCAGACCGCCCGGGAAGGCCGGAGCCGGGCCAUGACGCACCAGUCAGGAGACCUGCCGGCCUAC